CGGGAGCGUGAUGAAAAGGGAAUCAGGUGCAAAUCCUGAACAGACCCGCUGCUGUAAGUUCCUUCCAAAUCUUUGAAUACGCUAUAGCCACUGACGAGAAAUCGUUGGGAAGGCAUUCAAAGACGGAACAAGUCAGAAGACCUGCCAAUACAACU
rnacentral:ncRNA from 1 species